GAUUGUGGCUCAGUGGUAGAGCACUUGCCUAGCAUGUGUGAAGCACUGGGUUCAAUCCUCAGCACAACA
rnacentral:tRNA from 1 species